rnacentral:rRNA from 1 species
GACGAACGCUGGCGGCGUGCUUAACACAUGCAAGUCGAACGGUAAGGCCCUUCGGGGUACACGAGUGGCGAACGGGUGAGUAACACGUGGGUGAUCUGCCCUGCACUUCGGGAUAAGCCUGGGAAACUGGGUCUAAUACCGGAUAGGACUCCUGCCUGCAUGGGUGGGGGUGGAAAGCUUUUGCGCUGUGGGAUGGGCCCGUGGCCUAUCAGCUUGUUGGUGGGGGGAUGGCCUACCAAGGCGACGACGGGUAGCCGGCCUGAGAGGGUGACCGGCCACACUGGGACUGAGAUACGGCCCAGACUCCUACGGGAGGCAGCAGUGGGGAAUAUUGCACAAUGGGCGCAAGCCUGAUGCAGCGACGCCGCGUGAGGGAUGACGGCCUUCGGGUUGUAAACCUCUUUCAGCACAGACGAAGCGCAAGUGACGGUAUGUGCAGAAGAAGGACCGGCCAACUACGUGCCAGCAGCCGCAGUAA